AGGAUUAAUGCUGUAGGUACAGAGCGCAACCUUGUUGAUACGAAAAGGAAAUGGAUCGAAGUGAAGAGUUUAACAAAGAAUAAAAGCCAAGACAUAGUCAAGCAAGUCGUGCUACUGGUGGAGGGGCCACCACCAUCAAACUACAUGUUUGUGAUGAAAAGAUACUGACAGUUAUACCAAUCUGCUCUAUCUCUGGUGUAAAUGUUCAUGGGGACAUAUUUCUAAUGAACUCCAUUGUUUUUCCCAUUGAUGAGUCCACAUCAAGUGAUGCGCCAGUGGAUUCUGAACAAUGUAUGAAUUUUUACAUAUACAAUCUAUUAUUUAAAUCUUUAAAUAUAAUAUCAAUUGUGCUUUCGAUAUGCAUAUUUAGAUAAUGUUUUUUGCAAAUGACAUAA